UACGGAGGGUGCAAGCGUUACUCGGAAUCACUGGGCGUAAAGGACGCGUAGGCGGGUUUUCAAGUCAGAUGUGAAAUCCUAUGGCUCAACCAUAGAACUGCAUUUGAAACUGGGAACCUAGAGUAUGGGAGGGGGAGAUGGAAUUAGUGGUGUAGGGGUAAAAUCCGUAGAUAUCACUAGGAAUACCUAAAGCGAAGGCGAUCUCCUGGAACAUUACUGACGCUAAGGCGUGAAAGCGUGGGGAGCAAACAGG
rnacentral:rRNA from 1 species